rnacentral:lncRNA from 1 species
GACUUCCAACAGGAGUUAAGAAGCCACACUAGCAAGAUGGAGGAAUGGGGGCUCACAGCCUUAUCUAAUCUCCAAAUGAAGAAUGGGCCCAUCUGACAUAUCCUAUGAGCACAAAGCUUAGGGGACUCUUCACCGAAACCUAGACAAAUAUUUGAAUGCAUUUUUUUUUUUUUUUUUUGGAAAGGGAGAUAACGUCCAAUGGGUCUGUUUUAUAAUGCAUUUGUGUAAGGGGAACGGGAGGAAAUGAGAUUUAAAAAUAAAAC